CCUACGGGAGGCUGCAGUGGGGAAUAUUGCACAAUGGGGGAAACCCUGAUGCAGCAACGCCGCGUGAAGGAAGACGGUUUUCGGAUUGUAAACUUCUAUCAAUAGGGAAGAAAGAAAUGACGGUACCUAAAUAAGAAGCCCCGGCUAACUACGUGCCAGCAGCCGCGGUAAUACGUAGGGGGCAAGCGUUAUCCGGAUUUACUGGGUGUAAAGGGAGCGUAGACGGUGCAGCAAGUCUGAUGUGAAAGGUCGGGGCCCAACCCCGGGACUGCAUUGGAAACUGUUGAACUGGAGUACAGGAGAGGUAAGCAGAAUUCCUAGUGUAGCGGUGAAAUGCGUAGAUAUUAGGAGGAACACCAGUGGCGAAGGCGGCUUACUGGACUGUAACUGACGUUGAGGCUCGAAAGCGUGGGGAGCAAACAGGAUUAGAUACCCGAGUAGUC
rnacentral:rRNA from 1 species